CGAUUUUAAUCAUGAUAUAAACGUUAUAAGUGUAGCUGUUUGGUGAUUAUUAAAUUUGAAGAUAUAAAGAAAUAUAAUUUUCAUUAUUAUGCAGUAACAACUUCAACAUCGGACAAGAACGGUCCUAAAUUAUACAAAUUUGAGGUAUGAUUUCUGUUAAAUAACUGUGUUUUAUCUUAACGCAUUAGAACAAUUGUUACACUUUAGUAAUUAAUGCAUCGUCAUAUUGAGAAUAAAGAUGUAAGUUGAUGUCUUCUUAUUUCAUGAGUUAAAGGAAAGCGGCGAAGCAACACCAUGUUGAUAAAGAUUAUUUAGUACUCGUUGUUGAUCUAAACUUUGUUCAUUUUAAUUUAUAAUAUUCAAAUGCAUGACUGUAAGAUUACUGUUGAUGAUUGACCGAAUUGUGAAUGAAAAAUGUAUAUUAUUUAUCAUGUUGAAUCAGAUGAUCACUCAGAAUAACAAUUUGCAUUGCCCUUACUUUAAUAUUCGGUGAUAUAUUAAUGAAACAUCGAAUUUAAAGUAAGCGGCGCUGCAUUUUGAACUUUCCAGCGGCUGUACAUUUUACACUUUUCAUCAUGUGUUCAUUUCACUUUUACGUUAUUCAAUUUAACCUCUACAUUCAGUUCUGUUGUUUUUUGUUGAGCUCAUUUAAUCUUCAUCAUUUAUUUCAUAUAAGAACUGUUCAUAUCAUUAUGGGCACACAUCUGAGACAAGGUAAAAUCCAAUAUAGUGGAAUUCGAUGCGACUGUCGUUAAAGUGAGAGAUUUAGCUAGCUAUAAAACCAGGUUCAAUCCACAAUAUUCUACAUAAGAAAAUGCCUGUAUCAAGUCAGGAAUAUGACAGUUGUUAUCCAUCAAUUCGUUUGAUGUAUUUGAGCUUUUGAAUUUACCAUUUGAUUAUGGACUUUCCGUUUUGAAUUUUCUUCGGUGUUCAGUAUUUUUGUGAUUUUACUUUUUUUAAUUUUAACUAGAGUUAUAUCAUACACAUCUUAUCGUACUUGCGCUGUUGGAAAAUACAUACAUGAUAAUGCAUACAUGACAAUACAAUGCAUACAUGACAAUACAAGCAAUAACAUGCAUUUAUAAUGUGCAGCGCAUUUAAUUAAUCACAAUGCAAAAGAUGUCAUGACAAUAUAAUCCAACAAUAGUAUACCCAAAAUAGACAAAAUAGAGGUUGUGUCAUUAAAGCUUAGUAUAGUGGUAUCAGUCCCUCUCAAAGUGAUCAGGGAAACCCAAUAAAUAAUCCGGACAAACAAUAAAAGAAAUGCUCGAUCUCAUUUAGGAUAAAGAUUUUGAGAAAGCGUCAAUAAAUGUAAUGAUAAGAGGUCGACAAUUAGAACGGAUAUAAACGUGUACUGAAGUAUAUAAAUAUGACGAAGUCCAUGUCAUGUCAGAGUAAACGACAAAAAUGUUCCCGAUGAAAAAAUAAAAUAGAAGAUGAGAGUUCAUCAUGUGUGGAAGACACCGUAAUAACAUGAACGGUACCAAUUUUCCUGCACCAGAUGCGCAUUGUAAAUGAUUCAUAAAAUUUUUCCUAGCUAUAAACUAUCAAGCUGAUUAAAUAGAUAAACAAUUUUGUAACCUUAAUUCUGAUUGAAAAUACUUUCCAUUUAUAAUUUGUGUAGACUACAUUUGUCAAACUUUAACAGAUGAACUAUCUCAUUUUCUGUUUGUAGACAGUAUUUUUGUCUAAUAUUUUUUCAACCCUUUUAACCCAAUAAAAUAAUCAGGACAAAAAAAUAAAAGAGAUCGGCAACCUCAUUAGGAUAAAGUGUCAUAUGAUGAAGACAUAACCUUUCAAUCAGUUUAAAUGAGGUUUGGAGCUUGCAUGUCAUUAACUGCUAGUAGACCUUUGUAAAUUUAUGUAUCAUUGUCAUUUUCCUUAGUUUCUUUUGUCUCUAUUCUGACAUCGGACUCGGACUUCUCUUAAACUGAAUUUUACUGCGCGUAUUUCUAUUUGUUUCUUUAAUCUACAUUGGUUAGAGAUAAAGGGGGAAGGCUGAGAUCUCACAAAACAUGUUUAACCCCUCCGCAUUUUAGCGCCUGUCCCAAGUCAGGAGCCUCUGGCCUUUGUUAGUCUUGUAUAUUUUAAUUUUUGAUUUUAGAUAAUUUAUAUGUUUUUGAGUUAAGUGUGAUGUCAAUUUUUAAUGAACUUGUACACAAUGUUAUUUAGAGCCCAGGUGAGGACCACCUCUGGUUGUGGGAUUUUCUCGAUGCGUUGAAGGCUCAUUUGUGGUCUUCGUCUACUGUCUGCUCUUUCGUCAGUUUGUUGUCUCUUUAACAUAUUCCCCAUUUCCAUUCUCGUCUUUUUUAUUAGUAGGAAUGCAAAUUUGAUACAGAUGUGUACUUUAGUGUACAAAUAUGACAAACUCCAUGUCAUUUCAAAGUUAACUGACAAAUAUUUCUGAUGAAUUAAUCAAAUUAAAUGCCAAAUUCGUCUAUGUGUUCAGGUUGCACUUAGUAAAUUCACCUGUUUCCCAAUCCACACCUCGUUUGGGGAGACUUAUAAUAUUCCUAUAUAUUUCAUUUUCUUUACGUACUGGUUCCCAAAUACAUGUAUGAUCUCUGUGUGCCAUCUCACAGAGAAAUACCUCUUUAGGGAAACAAAUGGUUGCGGCACAAUUUAAUUAUAAGGCAGACCCAGUGUGAAGGUACGGGUAGUUUAUAAUUUUAGUAUAAGUUUAAACUAUUAGAAUGUCGCGGCAUAUAAAUGUUUUAAAUAUACUGCACAGUCCUUUUUUGACUUUUGAAUUAAAUAGAAAUUCAUAUCAAUUUUCCGUUCGAGUAUAUGAUUUUUGACGAAACUUCAUAUUUAAAUUGGCAGAGUUUCAGCCGCAAAGGGAAUUUGCAUUGUCCAUAUUUAUAGAAUCGAAACCAGUAGUAAUGGUGAAUAAGUCACAAAAUUUAGUCAAAUAUCAGUUGGAUGGUAAGAUGGAUGAACACAAUGACGGGUAGGCGGAUAUGUUUCUAUACUAUAUACUAACCGCCUUAAACAGAAAGAGUAAAACAACAUAGCAUUAAAUGAAACGAUCUUAUGACAUGCAUACUUAAGACUUCAUCAUAUAUUUGAAAACAUUUGAAAGCCAAGGAUGUUAUAUAUACAACAGUAAUUUACCGAACUUUAAGUAUCAUGAAUCAAGAAAAAGACAAAUGCAGGUAACAAAAAAACUGACGUUAUCAAAUGAACUUCAUAAGGAUCGCAACUUGGUGCUUUUACAGAACAAUCGUAUACUGCAAUGCUUCCAACACACACAUGUAUUUGGUGUGCCAUCAAGGUACAAUACCUUCUAUUGUGGAAGAGACUUUGACCAUAUUUACGUGCUCAUCACUUUUAAAAUUGUUAUUUGGAUGGAGAGUUGUCUCAUUGGCACUGAUACCACAUCUUUCUAUAUCUUUUUAUCAUUGAUGUUUAGGUUCAUAGGUUUUGGAAUGAAAAAAAAAAACAACAUAUUGUUGGAUAUAAGAGCAAUUAUAACAAUCA
rnacentral:lncRNA from 1 species